UGAGGAAUCUGUCCAUCGGCGGGGGAUAGCCGGCCCAACGGCCGGGUAAUACCGCGUACGUCGGCGAUGACGCAUGUCAUUGCCGGGAAAGCAGCAAUGCACCGAUGGAGGACCUCGCGGCCUAUCAGCUUGUUGGUGAGGUAACGCUCACCAAGGCGACGACGGGUAGCUGGU
rnacentral:rRNA from 1 species